rnacentral:rRNA from 1 species
UACGUAGGGGGCAAGCGUUGUCCGGAUUUAUUGGGCGUAAAGAGCGCGUAGGCGGUUUGGUAAGUCCGUUGUGAAAACUCGAGGCUCAACCUCGAGACGCCGAUGGAAACCAUCAGACUAGAGUCCGGAAGAGGAGAGUGGAAUUCCUGGUGUAGCGGUGAAAUGCGCAGAUAUCAGGAAGAACACCCGUGGCGAAGGCGGCUCUCUAGUCCGGUACUGACGCUGAGACGCGAAAGCGUGGGGAGCGAACAGG